rnacentral:rRNA from 1 species
UCGAGAAUCUUUCGCAAUGGGCGAAAGCCUGACGAAGCGACGCCGUGUGUGUGAUGAAGGCCUUCGGGUUGUAAAGCACUUUCGCUAGGGAACAAGAGAGGUCGGCUAAUAUCCGGCCAAUUUGAGGGUACUUGGUAAAGAAGCACCGGCUAACUCCGUGCCAGCAGCUGCGGUAAUACGGAGGGUGCAAGCGUUAAUCGGAUUUAUUGGGCGUAAAGGGCGCGUAGGCGGGGAAGUAAGUUGGAUGUGAAAGCCCGGGGCUCAACCCCGGAAUUGCAUUCAAAACUAUUUCUCUAGAGGAUGAGCGGAGAAAAGGGAAUUCCACAUGUAGCGGUGAAAUGCGUAGAUAUGUGGAAGAACACCGGUGGCGAAGGCGCUUUUCUAGCUUAUUCCUGACGCUGAGGCGCGAAAGCAAGGGGAGCAAACAGGAUUAGAUACCCCCGUAGUCC